AGUCGUAACAAGGUAACCGUAGGUGAACCUGCGGUUGGAUCAUUAAUUAUUAUGGGUUUUGUAGUUUACUACAUUACUUUUAUAGGGUCACUCCUAGUUAUUUCGAUGACUAGUGACGAGACCCAACACCCUAUGUGAACUGUUUUUUACUAUGGGGGUUUUGAGGAUUGGGUGGUUUUCUGAUUAUUAGGGACUGUGGUUCCUGAUACUAGAGACCUCUUAAUAGGAUAGCCCCCUAUAUAAACAUCUAUCAUAGACUUUGUAGUUCCCUAUCUUUUUUUACCACUCGUAAAAAUCCUUAGGAAAUUACUAGAGAACACCAGAGAAAACCAAACUAAAAAGUAAACAACUUUUGACAACGGAUCUCUUGGCUCUC
rnacentral:misc_RNA from 1 species